rnacentral:rRNA from 1 species
GACGAACGCUGGCGGCGUGCCUAAUACAUGCAAGUAGAACGCUGAAGGAGGAGCUUGCUCUUCUGGAUGAGUUGCGAACGGGUGAGUAACGCGUAGGUAACCUGCCUGGUAGCGGGGGAUAACUAUUGGAAACGAUAGCUAAUACCGCAUAACAGUAGAUAUUGCAUGAUAUCUGCUUGAAAGGUGCAAUUGCAUCACUACCAAAUGGACCUGCGUUGUAUUAGCUAGUUGGUGGGGUAACGGCUCACCAAGGCGACGAUACAUAGCCGACCUGAGAGGGUGAUCGGCCACACUGGGACUGAGACACGGCCCAGACUCCUACGGGAGGCAGCAGUAGGGAAUCUUCGGCAAUGGACGGAAGUCUGACCGAGCAACGCCGCGUGAGUGAAGAAGGUUUUCGGAUCGUAAAGCUCUGUUGUAAGAGAAGAACGAGUGUGAGAGUGGAAAGUUCACACUGUGAC